rnacentral:rRNA from 1 species
GACGAACGCUGGCGGCGUGCUUAACACAUGCAAGUCGAACGAUGAAGCUAGAGCUUGCUCUGGUGAAUUAGUGGCGAACGGGUGAGUAACACGUGAGUAACCUGCCCCGAACUCUGGGAUAACUGCUGGAAACGGUAGCUAAUACUGGAUACGACCUACGAAGGCAUCUUCUGUAGGUGGAAAGAAUUUCGGUUCGGGAUGGACUCGCGGCCUAUCAGCUUGUUGGUGAGGUAAUGGCUCACCAAGGCGACGACGGGUAGCCGGCCUGAGAGGGUGACCGGCCACACUGGGACGGAGACACGGCCCAGACUCCUACGGGAGGCAGCAGUGGGGAAUAUUGCACAAUGGGCGCAAGCCUGAUGCAGCAACGCCGCGGGAGGGAUGACGGCCUUCGGGUUGUAAACCUCUUUUAGUAGGGAAGAAGCGAAAGUGACGGUACCUGCAGAAAAAGCACCGGCUAACUACGUGCCAGCAGCCGCCGUAA